UGGUAUUGAUUGGUGCUUGCAUCAUGAUUUACAUUUGAGUGAGUGGCGAACUGGUGAGUAACACGUGGGAAACCUGCCCAGAAGCGGGGGAUAACACCUGGAAACAGAUGCUAAUACCGCAUAACAACUUGGACCGCAUGGUCCGAGUUUGAAAGAUGGCUUCGGCUAUCACUUUUGGAUGGUCCCGCGGCGUAUUAGCUAGAUGGUGGGGUAACGGCUCACCAUGGCAAUGAUACGUAGCCGACCUGAGAGGGUAAUCGGCCACAUUGGGACUGAGACACGGCCCAAACUCCUACGGGAGGCAGCAGUAGGGAAUCUUCCACAAUGGACGAAAGUCUGAUGGAGCAACGCCGCGUGAGUGAAGAAGGGUUUCGGCUCGUAAAACUCUGUUGUUAAAGAAGAACAUAUCUGAGAGUAACUGUUCAGGUAUUGACGGUAUUUAACCAGAAAGCCACGGCUAACUACGUGCCAGCAGCCGCGGUAAUACGUAGGUGGCAAGCGUUGUCCGGAUUUAUUGGGCGUAAAGCGAGCGCAGGCGGUUUUUUAAGUCUGAUGUGAAAGCCUUCGGCUCAACCGAAGAAGUGCAUCGGAAACUGGGAAACUUGAGUGCAGAAGAGGACAGUGGAACUCCAUGUGUAGCGGUGAAAUGCGUAGAUAUAUGGAAGAACACCAGUGGCGAAGGCGGCUGUCUGGUCUGUAACUGACGCUGAGGCUCGAAA
rnacentral:rRNA from 1 species